UACGGAGGAUGCAAGCGUUAUCCGGAAUGAUUGGGCGUAAAGCGUCCGCAGGUGGCAAUGUAAGUCUGCUGUUAAAGAGUCUAGCUCAACUAGAUAAAAGCAGUGGAAACUACAUAGCUAGAGUACGUUCGGGGCAGAGGGAAUUCCUGGUGUAGCGGUGAAAUGCGUGGAGAUCAGGAAGAACACCGGUGGCGAAGGCGCUCUGCUAGGCCGUAACUGACACUGAGGGACGAAAGCUAGGGGAGCGAAUGGG
rnacentral:rRNA from 1 species